rnacentral:tRNA from 2 species
GGCAAGGUGGCCGAGCGGUCCAAGGCGCCACGUUAAGGUCUACCCUUAAUCAUCUUCUCUCUCUUGAGAAUCCGUGGUCUCGAAAGGGGCGUGAGUUCGAAUCUCACCCUUGUCA